CCAAAAGGCUGUGGACCGUUGUAGCUGCUGGGAGAUGUGUGGGUUUCCAAAGUGUGAAAGGCCUGGUUUCCAGGGCAUGUUGAAUUUCUGCUGGUACCCGGCCCUGACGCUCUGAGGAAACAGUCACCAGAUGGGCCUCUUUUCAUUCUACAUAUUGGCCAGGAGAUUCCCAAGUCCAAGACCACAGCCUGUCCUGGGAGCAAGUGAUCCAGGCAAUGAGGGAAGCACAGGAGCGUCUAAGCUGCCGGCUGGGUCUCAGUGCUUGUGUCCAUGCCUGGAGGAAGCUGAUAUGACUGGGCAGCAGGAGCCCCACUCAAAGGCUACAUCAGAAACUUGGCUGGCUGUCCCUUCCUCAAAAGCUGCUUUGAAAGGAUGAUGACCUGUGCACAUGUUUCCUCACACACAUCCUGUCUUCCUUCCUUCUUUCCUGGGCUGGGCUUUGCCCUUGCUCCACUGUAGCUGGCCUGGCCCAACUGACUCUGCAGACCUGGCACUCACCUGGGACUUCUCAGUGCCAAGGAGGGAAUCCUUGCCCAGUCCUGUGCCCGAGUGCUGCCUCAGGGUUCCUACGGGGGUGGGAGACCAGCAUGAAACCUGAGCGGACUGCCCUCCUAAAGCUGGGCAGCUAGAACAUCAGUUGCCACUUGAGCUUAGCUUUCUUUUUUGUUGGCCUCCAAUAACUUGCUGGGUGCUGACGAUUUUAUUGCAACUCUGGCUGAAGAUUUUCGUAAAAGAAUGUCCCCAACCAGGCUGGACGCAUUAGUGUUGUCAGCACGACCGUUAGCUUCCUUCGGAGUGGAGGUCAACAAAUAAUUUUCAGCUUUGUUUAAGGUCUCUUUAAUGGAUUCUAUAAAAUGCUCUAAUUAUGAAUGAUUAUCUACCAAAGUGCUCGGCGCUUUUUAGAGCCUUUCUAUACCCAUUCCGCUCUGUUCACACAGAGUUCAAGUUGUCUGACGUACUUAAGCAAGAGGAGGCAUUUCUUUUAUUUCCUUUUCUUAUUUUUUUUUUAAAUAAAAUCCUGCAAUUUGGAGCAUUUAUAAGGUAGGCCAGCUCU
rnacentral:lncRNA from 1 species